rnacentral:misc_RNA from 1 species
GAAAUGCGAUACUUGGUGUGAAUUGCAGAAUCCCGUGAACCAUCGAGUCUUUGAACGCAAGUUGCGCCCGAAGCCAUUAGGCCGAGGGCACGCCUGCCUGGGUGUCACACAUCGUUUCCCCAAGGUUGGUU